GGGGAUAUAGCUCAGUUGGUAGAGUGCUUGCCUUGCAUGCACAAGGCCCUGGGUUCAAUCCCCAGCACCCA
rnacentral:tRNA from 1 species